rnacentral:lncRNA from 1 species
UCAGCAAAGAGGAAAUUCUUAAAAAUAACAAUAAUUGGUUCCAAAUGUCCCUAUCUUGUUUAAAAUAACAAAACUUUGAUGAGGGUGUGUCCCUUUAGCCACAAGCUCAGGUCAUUCGAGUCUUUUCACAAAACUUCUAAUACUUCUUCUGUUGUUGGAGUUACUGAAUAACUGUGUGAUUCAGAUCUUCAUUUUUUUAGUGUACUUGUUAUCCUAUUAGUGGACUGGUAACUUGUGAUACUAUCAUUAUUCACAUGUUGUGUAUGAUUUGCCACUUACCAGCAGGAAUUAGCCUCCUACUUCGCUGCAGAAAUUGCUAUGCCAUUGAGUAAUACCUUACCGAACCUCAUCCCCGGGGCUUAGCAGUGGAGCCUUCUAGGCUUCCACCAUUAAGGCCUGGAAUGCAAGGCCAGACCCAAGCCCCAGGGAGUCGGGAUCUACAAGACUACCAGUGUUUUUGCGUGGUGGUCUCAGAAAAGAAGGAGGAGGAGGAGGAGGAAAAGGUUUAAUGACAACCAUAAUGCUGUGUAUUAUUCUCCUACAUCAGUCCUCAGACGUGACAGGUAGACUUUAUUGACUCCUGAAAAGUUCAGGACUUUGUCACAGUUUAAAGGUUUAAGAGCAGUAGCUGAACCAGGAGAACCUGUUGGACUACUAGCAGCACAAUCAAUUGGUAAACCUUCCACUCAGAUGACAUUGAAUGCAUUUCAUUUUGCCGGUAGAGGAGAAAUGAACGUCACACUAGGAAUACCACGUCUGAGGAAGUUUCUACUCUACUAUCUAGUGCAUUCAAUGUGUAUAAUUCCUUAUUGCUAAUUACAUGACAUUUGAUGGAGACUACAAGCCUUCAGUAGGUUUGGUGUGAACAGUAACAGCUCUCGAGAGAUGUUGACACUCUUUGGUCACCUUCAGCUUGUCUGGUGACUGGUAAUGUGGUCCAUGGAGGGACUAGAGCUUUUCAAUGCAAAAACUAGUUAUAAUGAUCUAAUCUUGUUCAUUUUUGAAUAAUAAUUAUUUUCAGCAGUUUAUAAAUUAUAGAAAAUUCUGAUUUGCAUUUUGUAUUACUGUAA